GCCUAAAGAGAAGCUCGCGGCUGAUUAGCUUGUUGGUGAGGUAAUAGCUCACCAAGGCGACGAUCAGUAUCUGGUUUGAGAGGACGAUCAGACACACUGGAACUGAGACACGGUCCAGACUCCUACGGGAGGCAGCAGUAGGGAAUUUUCCGCAAUGGGCGAAAGCCUGACGGAGCAAUACCGCGUGAGGGAUGACGGCCUAUGGGUUGUAAACCUCUUUUUUCAGGGAGGAAUAAAUGACGUGUACCUGAAGAAUAAGCAUCGGCUAACUCCGUGCCAGCAGCCGCGGUAAGACGGAGGAUGCAAGUGUUAUCCGGAAUCACUGGGCGUAAAGCGUCUGUAGGUGGUCCAAUAAGUCAACUGUUAAAUCUUGAGGCUCAACCUCAAAACCGCAGUCGAAACUAUUAGACUAGAGUAUAGUAGGGGUAAAGGGAAUUUCCAGUGGAGCGGUGAAAUGCGUAGAUAUUG
rnacentral:rRNA from 1 species